rnacentral:rRNA from 1 species
AUUGAACGCUGGCGGCAUGCCUAACACAUGCAAGUCGAACGGUAACAGGCCCUUCGGGGUGCUGACGAGUGGCGGAUGGGUGAGUAAUACUUAGGAAUCUACCCUGUAGUGGGGGACAACCAGUCGAAAGACUGGCUAAUACCGCAUACGCCCGAGAGGGGAAAGCGGGGGACUCGCAAGGGCCUCGCGCGAAUGGGUUGGCCGAUGUCCGAUUAGCUAGUUGGCGGGGUAAAGGCCCACCAAGGCGAUGAUCGGUAGCUGGUCUGAGAGGAUGAUCAGCCACACUGGGACUGAGACACGGCCCAGACUCCUACGGGAGGCAGCAGUGGGGAAUUUUGGACAAUGGGGGCAACCCUGAUCCAGCCAUUCCGCGUG